rnacentral:rRNA from 1 species
GCUUACGGUCAUACCAGCCUGGGUACGCCCGAUCUCGUCUGAUCUCGGAAGCUAUGCAUGGUCGGCCCUGGUUAGUACUUGGAUGGGAGACCGCCUGGGAAUACCAGGUGCUGUAAGCA